rnacentral:misc_RNA from 1 species
GGAAAAAAAAAAAAAAACUCAAUACAAUAAUAUGCAUGGUUUUUACAAUUAUAUUCUUCUCUUCACAAAGAAAAGAAAGAAAAGGAAAAAAAGAAAACAAUUCUAUAAAAAUUUGUGAAGAACUCGUAUAUUUUACUUUUUCAUUUUCAUGAGAUUUGCAAUGUGAAGAACUCAUAUAAAUUAUAUGAAAUUUAUAAAUUUUAAUAUUAUGUAUCAUAUAUUUUGAUACAUUUGAUAAAUCGUGUCUAUAAGAUUUUUUUUUUCAGUUAUUUCUCACUAAUUCUCGGAAAAACCCAUCAAUAAGUUCGAAUUCUAAUUGAAGAGAAAAAAAUCUCAAUGCAAUAAUAUGUAUGGUUCCACAAUCCUAAUCUUCUCUUCACAGGAAAAAAGAAAGAAAAAUAAAAAAAAUCAAUGAAAAAAGUUUAUGUUUAAACUUGAUUGAUCAUUAAUUGAGCCAAAGUUAUUAAAGGCACGCCUCAGGC